UUGAUCGCACACCCUUUUCCUGGAGAGAGCCAGUGUACUGAGGGAUGCUGGUCCCAAACCCACGGCCCACCACCAAAGGCGAGCCCUGCCCCCUGCUGGUUGCAGAGGGUCACUGCCCUGGAAGAGUCAGUGACCCCCUCCUCUUGUUAGGCUGGAUUGAGGAGGGUCAUAAGAGGGUACAGUCGCCAGAUAAAAUAUAGAGCAUCCAGUUAAACCUGAAUUUUAGUUAACAGCAAAUAAUCUAGUAUAAGUAUGUCCCAUACAAUAUUUGAGCUUUACUUAUACUUAAAACAUUUCUGCUGUUGUUUAUUUAAUAUUUGAAUAUCAUGAUGUCCUGUAAUUUUAUUUACUAAAUCUGGAACCCUAGAAAAGAAUGCAUAUGGUCAACACUCUUGAGUGUGUUGGAAGUAAAGAAACUCUGAGGAUGCUAAGGGUAGACUGGCCCAGGCAUCUGGACAGAGAAAAGAGAAUCCAGAGGACAGAGUUGUGAGGAGGAGCCAGGGCAGGACCCUUGCUUCUGCUGUGAACAAAUCCAGGUUGGCUUGCUGAGGAAUGGCACGAAGCUCAGCUGCCCCCACCCCCAGCCUCUUGCCACACUGGGGAUGAGGCCAUCCUCCACCAGUGACUCCAGCUGACCACCACAGUCCAUAGCCAGGCCAGGACUGCUUAGCUGGACUGCAGGUUCAUGAGCUCAAUAUGUCCUCAAAUGUCCAUCGCUUUGACCCGAUACAUUUUGGGGUUGUUUGUUAUGCAGCAAACAAUAAUUGAUACCAGAGAAAAGAAAGGGGUCCUGAGGAUGGGCUUUGGGCAGUGUAGCCUGAGAAGGCAACAUGAUGAAUCAUAGCACCCAAGGGCCACGUCCUGUCAGGUCCACUGUUCUCUCCAAGGACUGAGCAGCGAGUCUUGGACGUAUCCAGUCCCCAGCACAGGGACCCUGCCAGCCUGAAGGCCCUUGAGCAGGGGCAGGGAGCCAGGGGUGGGGCUUAAUCGAGGGUAACCACCCAUUGGUUCACCACCUGAGCUGCGUGUCCUGCUCUGAAGAUGGCUGGGCCAUUCGACACCUUUCCUGGCAAUUUGGAAUUGGGGGCUUGUGGAUGUCGUCACAGAGCUGUAGAACUACAGCCAAAAAGUCACAGAUCAGUCAUUCAAGGAUACAUGUGAAAUGUUCAAAAGAAAAUGGAGCAGAUGCAGAGAGACCUUGGGAGGGAGAGCUCAGUUCCCACCCUCAGCACUGGCCUGGGGCUUUGCAGGGGGCCAUCAGGGUCCAGGGAGCUGACACAUUUUCAGGCUGGUGCAGGCAGAGCUGUGUUCUCAAAACAGGGCUGCUCACAGAAGCCCAGCUGCAGGACAUACCAGCAUUUGUGGAAAGGUGGAAACUGGUGAGUCAUCCGACAGCUCUCAGUGUCUCUCCCACCCCACCCCACUGGCCUCCAUCUCAAUGCCAGUUAUCCUUCCGGCAGCUCUACCUGCACAGGUGGAUGGGAUCUGUCUACAGGGCUCCACAUUACUGCAGGAGACCUGCAUGAAUCCCUAGAAAGAAUUUGGAAGAAUUUAACACAAGAUGAGAAUGCACCAAAAAAAAAAAAAAAACAUUAAAAGAAGUAUUUUAAAAUGCAGAAAUGGAU
rnacentral:lncRNA from 1 species